rnacentral:rRNA from 1 species
UACGGAGGGUGCAAGCGUUAUCCGGAUUCACUGGGUUUAAAGGGUGCGUAGGCGGAAUUGUAAGUCCGUGGUGAAAUCUCCAAGCUUAACUUGGAAACUGCCGUGGAUACUAUAAUUCCUGAAUGUUGUGGAGGUUAGCGGAAUAUGUCAUGUAGCGGUGAAAUGCAUAGAUAUGACAUAGAACACCAAUUGCGAAGGCAGCUGGCUACACAAAUAUUGACGCUGAGGCACGAAAGCGUGGGGAUCAAACAGG